ACGAGGGCCGCAGCCCUGGGGAACGUGGUCUUGUUUAUGUUGGCGAGUUCCCUCAGCGGCGCUGACAGUAGAAUGAUGCUUGAGGUCAAACCAAACGGGAGACGACUGAAAAGAUACGUCGCUACUUCAUCAGUCGUGUUGUGGUUUCCCUCAUUGUCUAGUGUUACAUUGUACCAGAAGAAUCUUGUCAGAUCCCUGUCCUUGGUGUCUAAGACCUGGUUGAUAUCGCCGAUAAGUGCCACUGGAUAUAGCUAGAAUCGUAGGAGGACUGCAAAUAUCUCAGGGAGGAGGUUUUGUCCCAUCUCCAGCACCUCAUUGAGUAAGGUUUCGUUGUCUUCGUGCGAGGACGCGUCGAACACAAUUCUCCAUUUAAAGUCCCCAUGUUUCUCCUUGUCCACAGCUUGAUGAGGCAGGUAAAAUGUAUCUGGAUUCCCUUCCGUUUGAGUUGUUCGCUGUUCUCGGUCAUACUGAUGGAGUCGUUGGAAGAAAAUCUGAAUCCUUCGUUAAAUCGUCGUUUGAUGGUGCUAUAAAUCUGAUGGUGAUGGAGUAUUCCCUUUGGCUAAUACUAGAUGGCUCCGUGUAAAGAAGGAACGAGAUCGAAUGGCUGUUAUAACACAACCAGUCUUGUAGGUUCAAGGCCGAUUUGCGGCAAUU